rnacentral:rRNA from 1 species
AGCGGCAGGCUUAAUACAUGCAAGUCGAGGGGCAGCAGGUUUGUAGCAAUACAGAUGCUGGCGACCGGCAAACGGGUGCGGAACACGUACACAACCUUCCUUUAAGUGGGGAAUAGCCCAGAGAAAUUUGGAUUAAUACCCCGUAACAUUAUGAUGUGGCAUCACAUUAUAAUUAUAGCUCCGGCGCUUAAUGAUGGGUGUGCGGCUGAUUAGAUAGUUGGCGGGGUAACGGCCCACCAAGUCUGCGAUCAGUAACUGGUGUGAGAGCACGACCAGUCACACGGGCACUGAGACACGGGCCCGACUCCUACGGGAGGCAGCAGUAAGGAAUAUUGGGCAAUGGAGGCAACUCUGACCCAGCCAUGCCGCGUGGAGGAUGAAGGUCCUCUGGAUUGUAAACUUCUUUUAUAUGGGACGAAAAAGGGCCUUUUCAGGUCAACUGACGGUACCAUAUGAAUAAGCACCGGCUAACUCCGUGCCAGCAGCCGCGGUAAUACGGAGGGUGCAAGCGUUAUCCGGAUUCACUGGGUUUAAAGGGUGCGUAGGUGGGUUGGUAAGUCAGUGGUGAAAUCCCCGAGCUUAACUUGGGAACUGCCAUUGAUACUAUCAGCCUUGAAUAUUGUGGAGGUCAGCGGA